GUUUAUAUUUAAAUGUCAAUAAGAUCAGUAUGGAUGUGGAGCCAUGGUUCUGCUCACUAGCGACAAUGUGUAUUCUUGCAGUUAGAAUGGAGUUGUUUUAAAUACUAGACUAUCUACAGGACUGAGCGCUACAGGUGCAGAGGAUAGUUCUUUCGAUUAAUUGUCGUGUUGAGGCAAGUGCACGGCGGACCUUUUCUCCGUAUACUUGACUGUGUUGUUGACGCAGGUCUAUGAAAAUAAGUUGAGUAGUCUGACCAGAGGAUGACAGAGGACGUCGAGAUUUUGAUCCAGCAGCCUUGCCCCCUUUCGUCCGGCGUGCCGCCUGCAGGAGGUUACGUUCUAGAUCUUCAGAAUUUUUAGGUACUCACUCUCCCUUGAUGCUCUUUGAUCGAACCUACUUUGCAGGAAAGCGUGCCAGUAGUAAGAAGUUUUAGCAAGUCUGUUAUUGAAAGUGCUGUAGGCACUGAUGUGAUCCGAGGUGACCAACCUGAGCAGCAGUUUAGUGAAGGUGUUUGAUACAGUUCUCCUAAAAAGGGAGAAGUGUCUGAGGAAAUCUACUUGCUCUUUCAAGCUAUGAAUAUUUUAGAUCAGUAUAUUUUAAGGUUGUAAAGACUGAUGUGUCGGCUAAAGCUUAAAGAUCAUAAAUUCAUUGUUUACCCUACCAAGUUUAUUUCUCAUUGAAGAUUAUUCUAGAAACUAUAUUAUAAGCCCAUUGCUACUUUUUACAUGUAACUUAUGGUAUAUCCUCAUAUAUGUCAAGACUAUAAAACAAGUGUCUUCGUCCUGCUCAUACAUCUUUUCAUUAUGAUCUGCGUUAACCUCUCCCAUUGCCUUGAGGUGCAAAGUGAAUAUGUUGAUAUUGAUGUCAUUUUAUUCUUGACUAGAUAAGGUCUAACCUUACUCUUGAAUUUUCUUGGGGAAGUGUUCCAACCAAAUGAUGUGUGCACCCAAUCAUACAAUAAUGACCAAUUGGUUGUAAACUUGUAGCAACCUGAUAAGCUUUGUCCCAUCGAUUAGCAGGAUCGGUGUUUCUCUUAGACAUGUAAAGAAAGGUUACA